rfam:Gossypium hirsutum cultivar TM-1 chromosome 5, whole genome shotgun sequence
UGUUAAAAAUUUCAUUUAUUUGUACUAUUAAAAACUGGUGUAACUUACAAAAUAACUAGAUAGUACCAUGUACUUCAUACCGACGUAUAAAGACCAAUUUUUAACAGUAGAAAUGAAUUGAAUUUGUAAUA